UGCUGGCUCAGAGCAGGGGGUGCUGCUCGGGGGGGGGGUGGGGGGGGAAUGAAAUGCUGGGGCCCUGCCCCUGGGUGGUGGUGAGGAGGGAACCGCUGUCCCCGGCUUUUAAGCAUAUGCUAGAAUUAAGGUUUUUCUAACCGGUAACACCUGGAUACGUUUUUAUUUAGACGCUUCCAUGUCUUGAAAGCCAGUACCACGUCACGGAUAUUGACACCCCAAAAAGGCGGCUGCUUGUGGGGGUCCCUGCGAACCUCUGCUGCUUCUGACGGCGAACUGCCAAGUCCUCUGCCCUGGAGAAAAGGCUUUGGGGAAAGCUGCCGCUAGCCGCCGGGGGCCGGUGCUGUGCCGCACGCGGGGCGCGACGCCCGCCACCCAAACCCGAGGUGUUCCAAACAAAACCAAAGCGCCAAUUGCUCCGUAUCCUAUCCAAACGACUGGCCUGAAAGUUGUAUCGGUUGGUUGGAUUCCGCUCACGCUGGCGAGCCUGACAAGUGAAAUAAAUCCUGACCUCUGACUGCCUGGAACUGGAACGGUACGGCUUCGUGCGCUUCCUUAAAAUUAAAUUGUUGCCCGCAGCAGCCGGGGGGGGGGGGGGGGGGGGAGCGCUGGGGCGGGAUGGGGCAGGGGGGUCGCUGCACGCUGGGAGCUCAAACUGCAGGUCAAAUUUUAUUUUCGGUUGGCAAUUCUAAAUGUAACCCCCCCCACACCCCCACGUUAAAAGCCCUGCUGAGGCGGGCGCUGGCCCCGGCCCCCCCGCCGAGGCUUUCCUGGUGUCGGGAGGUGGGUGCCAGGAGAAAUCCUGGUUCUGCUCCACAGAGCUGGUGGGGGGGGGGGGGGCCCCCAGCUCCAACCCUCCUCCUGCCAGCGCCCCGGGAGCAGCCACCCCCGACAGACAGACACUCUGACAGACAGAGUGGGAUUAGGGGGGUGGUGGUUAAUACUGUCUUUGCGUUUACUGGUGCGAAUAUCUCUCUCGGACAUACCCCCCCCACACACACACACCCCCCCCAGCCAGAAAUAAGCCUUGGGUUUGCUUGCAUAAGGUAAUUAAAUGCUGUACCACAAGCCAGCGAGGUUGAACCAAGGGACAUCUCGCCUGGCACCAGCACCACAGCUCCGACCGCACUGCUGGGCUCGCUCCCCGCGUGUUCCUACCGCCGCUCAACCCACGGCUUUUACAGCGGCCGGUGUCCGCCCCCCCCCCCCCCCCCACGCCGCAGGAGCCUCCCGCCCGGCCGGCCCCGCCGCGGGACCUGGCGUGGGGCUGUGAAACGGGGCUGCAGGCGGGGCAGAAAUGAUCUCGGAAAACCAGCAGCAACCCCGCUUUGCCGAUGCUAAGCGGCUGCUAGGGCAGCCCACCGGCCUCUCAACAGUUUAUCAACAGCCGGCUACAAACCGCAAGCUGCGAAUGGGAAAAUGGGUCAAUUAUUAAGACUGGGGAGUCCCGCAGGCUUCCUGGGGUCUGGUCCUAACUUUUUUCUUUAAAUGAGUAUUCUGGAAGCAGCUUUUUUCCCUUUUUUUUUUUUUUUUUUUUUUUCCUCCAUCCCCCCCCUUUCUUUUUUUUUGCCCCUCAAGAGCUGCCUUGCAACACGCCUGCAGUGAGCAAACGUGCUCCUACCACUCUGGGCUUUCGGCACGCUGCGGGGUGCGAGGGGUGGCCCAGCAACGGGAGCUCCGGCACCUUAAAACUCGUUGCAAAAUGAGGAGAAGGGAAUCGCAUCACCUCCCUUUCCUAACCCAGCCCUUCCCUGAGGAGCCUCCCUUCAGUGUUUAUUGCGUGGAGAAAUCUCAAGGGGGGUUCCCAGGCGAUGGCCCCACCGGCCGCUUUCGGAAGGGGCUGCGCUGGUGCCCGUCGGUGGGGGGGGGGGGGGGGAGAGCAGGAUGGGGGGGUGCUGGGGGUGGUGUAAGAAGGGAAACCAUCAGCAUUUUGUGAGCGGAUCAAAAUGCGUCCACACACGUGCAAGUGCCCCCCACCCCAGGACUUCACCUCAGGGCCGACCGUCACCUGCCGCCAGCACGUGCCAUGUAAUCGUAUUUAGUUGGAAAUAAAAAAAUAAUAAUAAAAAAAAAAAAGAAAUCUUGACGUGCAAAGCGUGCACCCUGCCUGGGAGCUGCCCGCAGACCGGGCUGUGCCUGCGAGGUUACACCAGGGAGAGACGGGGGGUGCGGGUCACUUUGAAGGACUAAUGUAAAAACCCUAAGUAGUCCCAUUAAAGCCAUUUUAAUGGCUCCUAAUACCGGUGCUUGCUAAACAUCAUUUCAGCCAGUCUGAAUAAAAACAAUGCCAAAAAGAUAAUAUUUGGUGGUAUUUUGGGGGGCAGUGGGGGUCGGUGUUUAAGCUUCGCUACCGUAUGGUUCAGCCGCCAGGCCGAACUCCCCCCCCGGCCCCCGUCUGGAGUCGGUGAGAGCGUUGGCUAAGUUAAGGACUUCAGCGUGACACUCCACCGCGCUAAUUUCAUUUUACUGUCAUUUCCUUUUCAUUAAAACCCAUCAAUGAAAGCACUGGGCAAUCUCGACGUGGAGCCCUGCACACAGCCCCCACGGAUUACGCCACCGCGCUCUCCACCUCGUAAACUCAGCACGCGGAAAAACAGCCGAGCACAAAACAACGCGGGAUUAACAAGCACUAAAGGCUCCCUCGCUUGGUUUUUUUUUUUUUUUUUUCAGUCGGGCAAUUUUUGUUCUCCUGGUUCUGGGUCCUAAGGCAGAGCCCUCGUCACCCCUCGCGCACCUGCACCCCCCCCCCCCCCAGCACAUUCCUGGCGCUCCGUACGUGGCCGGUGCGGUUCCCGCUGCCGGGGGGUCCGUCCCGCCGCGGUGCUGGGCGAUUUUCCACGUGAAAAGCCAAAGGCAGCUCCACAGAAGAAAUUCAGGUGCAGAAAUGCCUUUUGCGGGACCUAAUUCCCGUUCAGCGUAACUAACUACAAGCUACGUAGGUGUCUGCAGCUUUCCGAGCACGAUGUCGACUCAAUUAUUUCUUUUUUUUUUAAAGGGCAAUGAGGACUUAGGGGAAUUUUUGGCCUCUGAAAGGCCACGAAUGUUAAAAAUGGGCUCUGGCAGAGCCUGUGCCAUCGGCUGGCGUGUUAUGAAAUCGCACCCGCGUGACAGAAAACGGAAAAAUUGAGCCCGUAACGGUCGAAAACCAAAUCCUGUGCAUCCAGCAAGCUUUCUCAGCUUGCGGCAUCGCGAAGAUUUUAACUUCCGGAAAAGUAGCGCUUAUUUAAAUUUACGCUCUGAAUGCCACCAAAUCAUUUAUUCCCGCUGUAAACGUUCGGAUUAGCAUCGGCCGUGGCUCGCUGCGGCGCCUGGUGGGGCCCUGCCAGCCCGGUGCCACAGCGGCUCUUCCAGCGGGAAGGCCUGCGUGGGAAAGGCAAAACUCCCGUGGUGUGGGGACCUGCCCAGCCAGCCUGGAAUUUAUGUUUCACUCCUAUUUAUACUGACUGACUGCCGACUGGGGAGCGAAGAAGGGGCCAUGCAAACAACCAGCGCGCGGGGAACUUCCAGGCGAACGUAGAGGUGUCGCCUUCCAAAUGAUUUCUAAAGGAAUCCCCUCAGCGGGGCCGAGCCUGCUCCACAGCUGCCAUUUGGUUAAAAAAAAAAUAAAAGAAAUCCCCACGAUUCAAAA